rnacentral:rRNA from 1 species
AGAAAUCAACCGAGAUUCCGCUAGUAGUGGCGAGCGAACGCGGAAGAGGCCAAACCAAGAGUAGUAAUACUUUUGGGGUUUUGGACAGCGUACGGUAUUAACUGCGGUUAGUAGAAUGAAAUGGGAAGUUCAACCACAGAGCGUGAUAGUCGCGUACACGAAAACUAAAGUUAGCCAGCUGGAUCCAGAGUACCGCCGGACACGUGAAACCCGGUGGGAAGACGGGGGGACCACCCUCCAAGCCUAAAUACUCUCCAAUGACCGAUAGUGUAUAGUACUGUGAAGGAAAGGUGAAAAGAACCCCUGGCGGGGAGUGAAAUAGAACCUGAAACCUUGUGCCUACAAGCACAUAGAGCGCGUCAAUGCGUGAUAUGGUACCUUUUGUAGAAUGGUCCGGCGAGUGAAUGUCACUGGCAAGGUUAAGCUCUUCAGGAGUGCAGCCGAAGCGAAAGCGAGUCUGAAAUGGGCGUUUUUAGUCAGUGGUAUUCGACCCGAAACCGGGUGACCUAGCCAUGAGCAGGCUGAAGUGGAGGUAAAACUCCAUGGAGGGCCGAACCCACUCCCGUUGAAAUGGUAGGGGAUGACUUGUGGCUAGCGGAGAAAUUCCAAUCGAACCCGGAGAUAGCUGGUUCUCUCCGAAAUAGCUUUAGGGCUAGCCUCAAUUAACAUUACCGCAGGUAAAGCACUGAAUGAGCUAGGGGGCGAAAGCUUACUGAACUCUAUCAAACUCAGAAUGGCGGAUAAUGAAUGAUUGGGAGUCACACUACGUGAGAUAAGUUUCGUGGUGGAAAGGGAAACAGCCCAGACCCACAGCUAAGGUCCCAAAGUACAGUUAAGUGGAAAAGGAUGUGAAAUUGCGCAGACAACCAGGAUGUUGGCUCAGAAGCAGCCACUCAUUCAAAGAGUGCGUAAUAGCUCACUGGUCGAGUGAUUUUGCGCCGAAAAUUUAACGGGGCUAAACUGUACACCGAAGCUUGGGAAUAUACAUUUGUAUGUUGGUAGGAGAGCGUUGUGUAAGGGGUGAAGUCGUAGCGAAAGCGGCGGUGGACUUUACACAAGUGAGAAUGCCGGAAUGAGUAGCGAGAAUUAUGUGAGAAUCAUAAUGGCCGAAAGACUAAGGUUUUAGAAGGAAGGUUCGUCCGCUUCUAGUUAGCCGGGAGCUAAGGCGAGGCCGAGAGGCGUAGUCGAUGCACAUACGGUUGAGAUUCCGUAGCUACCUUGCAUUUAAGCGAAGGGACACAUUUGAAGGGCAUGACCCGGGCGUUGGUUGACCCGGGCGUAAGGGACCGAAAAUAAGUAGGGAAGCAUGCUUGGAUGGUGGCGAGAAAAGCUUCGUGUAUAUAAGCAGGGUACCCGUACUGCAAACCGACACAGGUAGUCAGGAAGAGGAUUCUAAGGCCAUCGGGAGAAGCGUUGUUAAGGAACUCGGCAAAUUGACCCCGUAACUUCGGAAUAAGGGGUGCUCACGCGAGUGAGCCGCAGUGAAUAGGUCCAGGCAACUGUUUAUCAAAAACACAGCUCUCUGCUAAAUCGUAAGAUGACGUAUAGGGGGUGACACCUGCCCGGUGCUGGAAGGUUAAGAGGAGGGGUGCAAGCUCCGAAUUGAAGCCCCAGUAAACGGCGGCCGUAACUAUAACGGUCCUAAGGUAGCGAAAUUCCUUGUCGGGUAAGUUCCGACCCGCACGAAUGGUGUAAUGAUCUGGACACUGUCUCAACAACGCACCCGGCGAAAUUGUAGUACCGGUGAAGAUGCCGGUUACCCGCGGCAAGACGGAAAGACCCCAUGGAGCUUCACUGUAGCCUGAUAUUGGGUCUCGGUAUUUUAUGUACAGGAUAGGCGGGAGACUUGGAAACCAGCACGCCAGUGUUGGCGGAGUCACCCUUGGGAUACCGCUCUUAAAGUAUUGAGAUUCUAACCUGCAGCCAUGAAUCUGGCUGGGGGACAUUGUCAGGUGGGCAGUUUGACUGGGGCGGUCGCCUCCAAAAGAGUAACGGAGGCGUUCAAAGGUUCACUCAGCAUGGACGGAAACCAUGCCUUAGAGUGCAAACGCAUAAGUGAGCCUAACUGCGAGACUGACGGGUCGAGCAGUAACGAAAGUUGGAGUUAGUGAUCCGGCGGUAUGUGAGUGGAAAUGCCGUCGCUCAACGGAUAAAAGCUACCCUGGGGAUAACAGGCUGAUC